UCCCUGGUGGCUCAGAUGGUAAAGAACCUGCCUGCAAUGCAGGAGACCUGGGUUCAAUCUCUGGAUUGGGAA
rnacentral:tRNA from 1 species